rnacentral:misc_RNA from 1 species
CUAAGGAAAGAAGAGAAACUUUUCCUAUUCAAUUGUGAGUGACCUAUUUUGGGUUACUUAAGAAAUAAUUUGGGACUAUAGCUCAGUUGGUUAGAGUGCACGCCUGAUAAGCGUGAGGUCGAUGGUUCGAAUCCAUUUAGUCCCACCACGAAUGAUCUUUGAAAAUUGCAUAUAGAUAAUCAAAUAAAUGCGAAGAAAAGGUAGCAAGUUAAAUUAUUAGCUAUGCCUAAUAAUUUAAGAGCUGGAAAUAAGAGAGAAAUAAUAAUA